UACGUAAGUGGCGAGCGUUGUCCGGAUUUACUGGGCGUAAAGAGCGCGCAGGCGGCUGGUCAAGUCCGAUGUGAAAGCUCCCGGCUUAACUGGGAAAUUGCAUCGGAAACUGAUCGGCUGGAAGGUGGGAGAGGGUAGCGGAAUUCCCGGUGUAGUGGUGAAAUGCGUAGAUAUCGGGAGGAACACCAGUGGCGAAAGCGGCUACCUGGCCCAUUCUUGACGCUGAGGCGCGAAAGCUAGGGGAGCAAACGGG
rnacentral:rRNA from 1 species